GGGCUAGUAGCUCAGCCUGGAUAGAGCGUUGGUCUCCGGAACCAAAGGUCGCAGGUUCGAAUCCUGCCUAGCUCACCA
rnacentral:tRNA from 1 species